AAUAGCCCCCAGUCAGUCAUCUCCCAGUCAAUAGUCCCCCAGUCAGUCAUCUCCCAGUCAAUAGUCCACCAGUCAAUAGCCCCCCAGUCAUCCCCCCCCCAGUCAGUCAUCUCCCAGUCAAUAGCCCACCAGUCAAUAGCCCCCCAGUCAGUCAUCUCCCAGUCAAUAGUCCACCAGUCAAUAGCCCCCAGUCAGUCAUCUCCCAGUCAAUAGUCCACCAGUCAAUAGCCCCCAGUCAGUCAUCUCCCAGUCAAUAGCCCCCAGUCAAUAGUCCACCAGUCAAUAGUCCACCAGUCAAUACCCCCCAGUCAGUCAUCUCCCAGUCAAUAGUCCACCAGUCAACACCCCCCCAGUCAAUAGGCCACCAGUGAGGCAAGUGCUGCUGGUAAGCUUUCUUGACUUCAUUUUUGCCAACACACGGCUAACCUUUGUUUAAC
ensembl:lncRNA